ensembl:snoRNA
ACUCGCCCAGCUCUGCAUGGUUACACUUGUCCUCACUCGUGUGACUUUCAUAAUGUGGAGAGAGAGAAAAGUUCUCCUCAGGCUGUCAGCUUGGCUUUACAGUGGCCCCUUUCCUUGAGGGGUCCAACAGGG